rnacentral:lncRNA from 1 species
CUUGGACACGUGUCAAACGAUGCUAUCAUCAACCUUAAGAUUUUUUUAACACUAUUUUGAAAAUGGUUGAAGGUGAGGCCAUCCCUAGUGAACGAGUGAGCCAAACCCUCGCGCCUAGCGUCGUAGAAGGGUGCCAAUGCUGGUGGGAUUUUCCUAAAUAUUUUUAAUUUAUUUUUGAUAGGCGAUGAUGGAUUAGAUCCUAGGAACUAUUUCGGGAUUUUUUAACGUCUUGUUUGUAUGUAUUAAUGUGUGUGUGUGUGUGUGUGUGUUUAUAUAUAGAGGAAUGAUGCAUGUGUUUGAUGAAAUUUCUCUGAAAUAAUUUACUUAACCUUGUUUUUUUGAGAACUCGUGCACGCACAUAUAUUUCUUUUCAACUGAGUUAUUGAUAUACAAUAUACACUUCAUGACUUCUCUUAGAUUCUCAGAGUUUGGGAACCCCCAUUUCUGAUAAGUCAGUUAUUGGACAUCCAAAACACGACACUACUUGGAUGGCUCUAUUAAUUAGUUAAACAUUAUGACAUCCAAGGGAUAUCCCUAAAAUCAUUUGCUUCAGGAAAAGGCAUUGCAGAUAUUUAUCUUUAGUGGCUUUAGUUGUUAUUUGACCGGAUCAAUCUUAUGUUUCUCUAUCCCUUGCUCAGUUGGUUUAUUCCCCUGCCUUCCUUUUUAUAUUACUUUAUGUUGUGAUUUGUUGUUCUGUAAGGGAGAAUGUAGGUGGGAUCAUUUUACUGUAUUUCAAGAUAAUUAUGGCUAUCAGUUUCUGGUUAAUCCCUCAUUGUUCCCUGUUCUCACAUGCUUGCAGAGUCAACCCCUUGGUGGUGGCUUUAUAUGUAGCUCUACAUGCGGCUGUUCCAUUUUUAAUGUUUGUGUUAUUGCCCAUUUCCGCUUUUUGUCAGUUAUUACUUUGACAUGUGUCAUUCCCGAUUCGUGUUUAAUGUGUGUGCACAUUAUAUUGUAUUUUCACAUGCAUGCUCUGAUCAUAAUAAUUUUCAGGAUCUGGACACAAUUUCAGAAUUGAAGGUUUAGGAUAAAAAGCCAUUGCUUGAGUGAUUUGCUUCAAUAAAUAGUACGCCUAAUAUUUUUCUAUUUCAUUUAAUGAUCCUUUCAUUACACACCCAUUCAACAUGUUUAAGUCAAGCUCCUUUGAGUGCUCCUAGAUUUCUUGUAAUUUCUUUUCCUUCUUUUUUUUGUUUUUAAUUUUCGGGAUUGAUUGGUUGGAGGCAUCAACAAAAUGAGAAAUUGAAUCAAAAGGCAACAACAUUUAGUCUACCCUUAAAAGAUCCUUUGCAGUGUUUUUAACAUUCAGCUAUUGGUAUGGUCUUUCUUUACCUUUUUAAUUAUUUUAAUUUUUUUUUUCCUUUUGGCUUUGUGAAAUACUUUUGUGUUUGCUUGUUAAAUUGUGUGAAGCUUAACAUGCUCUAUAUUGGGGUAGUGCUUACAUAUAUGGGGGUAGGAUUAAAUCAUAAAUCCACGAGAAGCAUGUCUAUUGUUUCUAAAUUAGCAACUAAAAAUCGUUCAGUAGUGAAUUAAGUUAGAGAACUUUUGUUGUCUAUAAAUUAUUCUGCUCUAUAGGCUGAAGAAGACAUUGAUGAAGUCUGUACACAAAUUAAUUUGAUGUCCGAAGCAGAUGUAAUUAUUUUAGGGAAUUUGGAAAACGAAACAAAUAAAGCUACAUGGGUUCAUUUUAUUCUGUGUUGAAGCUCAGAAAGCAGUUUUGGUCGUCGUUCUUUUGAUAUUUAACCUGAUCUCUUAAUGAUAAAAUACGAAAAUUAGGUUGUAAUCCGAAACUUUAAGCUUUAUUAUAAGUCGCUUUCAUAUUAUCUUCAUCCAAGUUCUCUCUAAAAAUUGGUAAUUUGGAUCAUGUUCAUUGUUCCAGGUGACCAAUGGCUCCUAAUCGUAGUAUUGUGAUCAUAUUGUUGACGUUAUAAGGAAAAUAUGAUAAGUUCACAAAUUUGGUCUCUGGUGGUUUGACAUCUUCAUAGGUAUUCUUUUACAAAUGCACCUCCUUAUAUGUCAAUAUUUCUGUUAUCUAAGAUUAGUACUCGUUUCUGGUUGCUUAAGUUGGUUUGUCAUACUAAGCUAUGUCAUAGAAAUGGACAUUAAUAUUUGGAUGAUGAUCACUUGAUGAAUAUUGAGCUACCAACGUGGUUAUAUGAUAAUAUAUAUGUUUUGCACAUGUAACUUUAUUUCAUGGAGUAUUAUUUUGGAGGAAGUACAUUAUUUCAGGUGACUUCCCUUUUUCUUUUUGACUGGAAGGUGCUGAGCUAUUUCUGGAAAGAUGGCCAUAUAAUUAGAGAAAGAAGAAAGAUGGAAAAGUAGUGAAGGAAGCUCAUGAAAGGCUCAACGUAUGUUUUGGAUGAUAUUUCUCUGCUUCAUGGACUUCAAUUUUACUGGUUGAAAUCUAAAAAAUUGCUCUAGCAGCUUGUUAUGAUCUCUUGAAUGGUACUCUUGUUUAUUAGGAUUUUAAUUUUUUAACACAAUGAAGUUAUAUGGUUGGUUAAAAUUGAAUAAUUGGAGUGAAUGGCAGCAUAAUCACGGCAGUGACAAAUCAAAGUUCUGGUUUGAGUAAUUAUUAUUUAAUCUAUGUUAUGUCUUAAGGUUGUGAUUUGAAAUGAAAGAAUGUUAAUGGAAUUCAUUUGUGUACUUUGCUUUCUCAUUGUACUCAUUCUUUUAUUUGAUUUCCUGCACAACACUUUGAUGAAAGUCGGCUUAAAAUAUUUGCAAUUCAAAGUAAAUUGAAAACGACACUUCUAACAUCAUCCAGUCCUACUUGUUUAAUUAUCUCUCGGUCAUUAGUUUUAUUUCCUUUUUUUAGUGAUAUCAUCACUUGUACACUUUUUGGUGGAGAUGGAGUGCAUCUAAAUCUUUGGGAAAAUUUUCAAAGUCAAAGCCUAAAGAUGAAGAUAAGGCCUUGGACGAGGAAGAAGACGAGGAACAUGGUGAGACUCUUUGUGGUGCUUGUGGAGAAGUGGUUCCAUGGUAUGUGAUUGAAGAUUGCACCAGCUAGAGCCAAGCAUAUCAAGCAGUACAAGUGUCCGUCGUGCAGUAACAAGAGGGCUCGUGCUUGAUGUGGAAUAUGAAUCAUACUAUCUGUACUCUUGAUAAAGUUCUCAUGUCUUGGUUGCUGAAGUCAUUUUUUGUUUGGUGCUACAAGUAAAAUUAACCUCGUAAAUGGUACUCUUGUUUAUAUACCGACUACUAAUACUCGAAAUAUGUGCAAUAUAGUUUUACUUCUGAAGCAAUAU